UACGUAGGGUCCAAGCGUUAUCCGGAAUCACUGGGCGUAAAGCGUGCGUAGGCGGGAGUUUAAGUGCAAUGCGAAAUCUUGUGGCUCAACCAUAUAGACUGUAUUGCAUACUGGACACCUAGAGGACGGCAGAGGCAAGUGGAAUUACUGGUGUAGCAGUGAAAUGCGUAGAUAUCAGUAGGAACACCAAUGGCGAAGGCAGCUUGCUGGGCCGACCCUGACGCUAAGGCACGAAAGCGUGGGGAGCGAACAGG
rnacentral:rRNA from 1 species